rnacentral:rRNA from 1 species
ACUCCUGCGGGAGGCAGCAGUGGGGAAUAUUGGACAAUGGGCGCAAGCCUGAUCCAGCCAUGCCGCGUGAGUGAUGAAGGCCCUAGGGUUGUAAAGCUCUUUCACCGGUGAAGAUAAUGACGGUAACCGGAGAAGAAGCCCCGGCUAACUUCGUGCCAGCAGCCGCGGUAAUACGAAGGGGGCUAGCGUUGUUCGGAUUUACUGGGCGUAAAGCGCACGUAGGCGGACUAUUAAGUCAGGGGUGAAAUCCCGGGGCUCAACCCCGGAACUGCCUUUGAUACUGGUAGUCUUGAGUUCGAGAGAGGUGAGUGGAAUUCCGAGUGGAGAGGUGAAAUUCGUAGAUAUUCGGAGGAACACCAGUGGCGAAGGCGGCUCACUGGCUCGAUACUGACGCUGAGGUGCGAAAGCGUGGGGAGCAAACAGGAUUAGAAACCCGAGUAGUCCC